AUUGAACGCUGGCGGCAGGCCUAACACAUGCAAGUCGAACGGUAACAGGAAGAAGCUUGCUUCUUUGCUGAUGAGUGGCGGACGGGUGAGUAAUGUCUGGGAAACUGCCUGAUGGAGGGGGAUAACUACUGGAAACGGUAGCUAAUACCGCAUAACGUCGCAAGACCAAAAAGGGGGACCUUCGGGCCUCUUGCCAUCGGAUGUGCCCAGAUGGGAUUAGCUAGUAGGUGGGGUAACGGCUCACCUAGGCGACGAUCCCUAGCUGGUCUGAGAGGAUGACCAGCCACACUGGAACUGAGACACGGUCCAGACUCCUACGGGAGGCAGCAGUGGGGAAUAUUGCACAUAGGGCGCAAGCCUGAUGCAGCCAUGCCGCGUGUAUGAAGAAGGCCUUCGGGUUGUAAAGUACUUUCAGCGGGGAGGAAGGGAGUAAAGUUAAUACCUUUGCUCAUUGACGUUACCCGCAGAAGAAGCACCGGCUAACUCCGUG
rnacentral:rRNA from 1 species